ACCUACGGGAGGCAGCAGUCGAGAAUCAUUCACAAUGGGGGAAACCCUGAUGGUGCGACGCCGCGUGGGGGAAUGAAGGUCUUCGGAUUGUAAACCCCUGUCAUGUGGGAGCAAAUUAAAAAGAUAGUACCACAAGAGGAAGAGACGGCUAACUCUGUGCCAGCAGCCGCGGGAAUACAGAGGUCUCAAGCGUUGUUCGGAAUCACUGGGCGUAAAGCGGGCGUAGGCUGUUUCGUAAGUCGUGUGUGAAAGGCGCGGGCGCAACCCGCGGACGGCACAUGAGACUGCGAGACUAGGGGA
rnacentral:rRNA from 1 species